rnacentral:lncRNA from 1 species
UUUAUUAGUUUCUUCCAAACUUUAAGACUAAUUUCCGUUUUUAAUUGUGUUUACUUGUCACAGACUUUCAUAUACCUUAGCCAAACAGUUCCAUUAAGGUUGGAAGGUGUUAUCUAGUGUUGCUCAUCAGGAAAUGAGAUGAGGUUGCUUGGCUCAUCAGAAGAGCAAAGAUGGGUUAAUGCUAGGGCUUUUGACAUCCAAUCCACUCCAGGCUUCACUCAUCCCAAUCACCAGUUCUUCCCAGUUUGGGACAGAAAGCCUGUGUCUCCUGAAGAAGUAGCAGAGGAGCAGAGAGAACCCAGCAGAAGAACACUCAGGAAUAAAGCUACUGACCAUGUUGGAGCAUCUACAGAGUGCAUUAACACACAGUGCCCUUUAGCAACUUCAUGGUUAAGAGUCCAGUGAUUCCCUUUUCUUACCCACCUGCAAUAACGUGAGGCUGACCAUCGUGGCCAGUUUUCAAUCAUAUAAAUGCCCAACUUUAUAUUCUCAAGGAACUGAAGCAGUUG